AGAUACACUGGUGCGAUUGAUGCAUGCCAGAGGAGGAGUGCAUUGGUUGUGCGUUAAAAUUGAUAUGGUGGACCGUGUAGCCUACCUAUUCGACUCAGUCCCAUCCAACCGACCGAACAAAAGGAAGCUAAAUGCAGCUAAAAUUUUGGUUGAAACUAUGCACGACUUGCUGCAACUACACUUUGGAAAUGAUUAUGUUACAGACGUGCGUAGCUUCCACCGCUGCAUGUUAGAUGAGAGGCCAGUACAACAACUGGA